GAUGAACGCUGGCGGCGUGCUUAACACAUGCAAGUCGAACGAUGAAGCCCAGCUUGCUGGGUGGAUUAGUGGCGAACGGGUGAGUAACACGUGAGUAACCUGCCCUUAACUCUGGGAUAAGCCUGGGAAACUGGGUCUAAUACCGGAUAGGAGCGUCCACCGCAUGGGGGGUGUUGGAAAGAUUUAUCGGUUUUGGAUGGACUCGCGGCCUAUCAGCUUGUUGGUGAGGUAAUGGCUCACCAAGGCGACGACGGGUAGCCGGCCUGAGAGGGUGACCGGCCACACAGGGACUGAGACACGGCCCAGACUCCUACGGGAGGCAGCAGUGGGGAAUAUUGCACAAUGGGCGCAAGCCUGAUGCAGCGACGCCGCGUGAGGGAUGACGGCCUUCGGGUUGUAAACCUCUUUCAGUAGGGAAGAAGCGAAAGUGACGGUACCUGCAGAAGAAGCACCGGCUAACUACGUG
rnacentral:rRNA from 1 species